rnacentral:rRNA from 1 species
GCUUGUUGGGGAGGAAAUGGCUCACCAAGGAAAUGACGGGUAGCUGGCCUGAAAGGAUGAUCACCCACACUGGAACUGAGACACGGUCCAGACUCCUACGGGAGGCAGCAGUGGGGAAUAUUGCACAAUGGGGGAAACCCUGAUGCAGCAACCCCGCGUGGAGGAUGACGCAUUUCGGUGUGUAAACUCCUUUUAUAGGGGAAGA